UACGGGAGGCAGCAGUGGGGAAUAUUGCACAAUGGGCGAAAGCCCUGAUGCAGCUAUGCCGCGUGUAUGAAGAAGGCCUUAGGGUUGUAAAGUACUUUCAUCGGGGAAGGAAAAACAAAACUAAUAAUUUUAUUUCUUGACGUUAACCCGAAAAAGAAGCACCGGCUAACUCCGUGCCAGCAGCCGCGGUAAUACGGAGGGUGCUAGCGUUAAUCAGAAUUACUGGGCGUAAAGAGCACGUAGGUGGUUUUUUAAGUCAGAUGUGAAAUCCCUGGGCUUAACCUAGGAACUGCAUUUUGAAACUGAAAUACUAGAGUAUCGUAGAGGGAGGUAGAAUUCUAGGUGUAGCGGUGAAAUGCGUAGAUAUCUGGAGGAAUACCUGUGGCGAAAGCGGCCUCCAAACGAAUACUGACACUGAGGUGCGAAAAGCGUGGGGAGCAAACAGGGAUUAGAUACC
rnacentral:rRNA from 1 species